rnacentral:tRNA from 1 species
GGGACUGUGGCUUAGUGGUAGAGCAUGUCUAGCAUGCAGGAGGCCCUAGGUUCGAUUCCUCAGUACCA